ACGGGGGGUGCAAGCGUUAUUCGGAAUUACUGGGCGUAAAGAGCGCGUAGGCGGUCUCGUAAGUCGGGUGUGAAAGCCCGGGGCUCAACCCCGGAAGUGCAUUCGAAACUAUGGGACUUGAGUAUGGGAGAGGGAAGUGGAAUUCCUGGUGUAGCGGUGAAAUGCGUAGAUAUCAGGAGGAACAUCGGUGGCGAAGGCGACUUCCUGGACCAAUACUGACGCUGAGGCGCGAAGGCGUGGGGAGCAAACAGG
rnacentral:rRNA from 1 species